rnacentral:rRNA from 1 species
UACGUAGGGGGCAAGCGUUGUCCGGAAUCAUUGGGCGUAAAGCGCGUGUAGGCGGGUCGGUAAGUCCGGUCUGAAAGCCCGGGGCUCAACCCCGGGAGGCGGGUGGAUACUGUCGACCUCGAGUCCGGAAGAGGCGAGUGGAAUUCCUGGUGUAGCGGUGAAAUGCGCAGAUAUCAGGAGGAACACCAAUGGCGAAGGCAGCUCGCUGGGACGGUACUGACGCUGAGACGCGAAAGCGUGGGGAGCAAACAGG